rnacentral:rRNA from 1 species
AGAGUUUGAUCAUGGCUCAGGGUGAACGCUGGCGGCGUGCUUGACACAUGCAAGUCGAACGGUAUGUGGCAACACAUAGAGUGGCGAACGGGUGAGUAACACGUGGGAACGCACCCUACGCAGGGGGAUAACUGACCGAAAGGACAGCUAAUACCGCAUAAGACCGAAAGGUGAAAGGUGCAACUGCACCGGCGAAGGAGCGGCCCGCGGACCAUCAGCUAGUUGGUGGGGUAAGAGCCUACCAAGGCAACGACGGAUAGCCGGCGUGAGAGCGUGGCCGGCCACAAGGACACUGAGAUACGGGUCCUACUCCUACGGGAGGCAGCAGUGCGGAAUUUUAGAUAAUGGAGGCAACUCUGAUCUAGCGACGCCGCGUGCAGGAAGAAGGUCUUCGGAUUGUAAACUGCUGUGGUAAGGGAAAAAUGCCAUGUAGAGUGGAAAGCUACAUGGAGGGAUGGUACUUUACUAGAAAGCCCCGGCUAACUACGUGCCAGCAGCCGCGGUAAUACGUAGGGGGCGAGCGUUACCCGGAAUCACUGGGCGUAAAGGGAGCGUAGGUGGCCUGACAUGUCAACUGUGAAAACCCGGAGCUCAACUCCGGACUUGCAGUUGAAACUGCCAGGCUUGAGGACGGUAGAGGAAGACGGAACUGCCAGUGUAGGGGUAAAAUCCUUAGAUAUUGGCAGGAACGCCGGUGACGAAGGUGGUUUUCUGGGCCGGUUCUGACACUGAUGCUCGAAAGCCAGGGGAGCGAACGGGAUUAGAUACCCCGGUAGUCCUGGCCCUAAACGAUGUUCACUAGGUGUGGGGAGCGGAAAGCUUUCCGUGCUAAAGCUAACGCAAUAAGUGAACCGCCUGGGGAGUACGCCCGCAAGGGUGAAACUCAAAUGAAUUGACGG